rnacentral:rRNA from 1 species
AACGAACGCUGGCGGCAUGCCUAACACAUGCAAGUCGAACGAGACCUUCGGGUCUAGUGGCGCACGGGUGCGUAACGCGUGGGAACCUGCCCUUAGGUUCGGAAUAACUCCCCGAAAGGGGUGCUAAUACCGGAUAAUGUCUUCGGACCAAAGAUUUAUCGCCUUUGGAUGGGCCCGCGUUGGAUUAGCUAGUUGGUAGGGUAAAAGCCUACCAAGGCGACGAUCCAUAGCUGGUCUGAGAGGAUGAUCAGCCACACUGGGACUGAGACACGGCCCAGACCCCUCGGGGAGGAGGCAUGGGGGAUAAUGGGACAAGGGGCGAAAGCUUGAUCCGGCAAGGCCGGGGGAGUGAUGAGGGCCUUAGGUUGUAAAGCUCUUUUACCCGGGAUGAUAAUGACAGUACCGGGAGAAUAAGCGCCGGCUAACUCCGUG